rnacentral:rRNA from 1 species
AGAGUUUGAUCAUGGCUCAGAUUGAACGCUGGCGGCAUGCCUUACACAUGCAAGUCGAACGGUAACAGGUCUUCGGAUGCUGACGAGUGGCGAACGGGUGAGUAAUACAUCGGAACGUGCCCGAUCGUGGGGGAUAACGGAGCGAAAGCUUUGCUAAUACCGCAUACGAUCUACGGAUGAAAGCAGGGGACCGCAAGGCCUUGCGCGGACGGAGCGGCCGAUGGCAGAUUAGGUAGUUGGUGGGAUAAAAGCUUACCAAGCCGACGAUCUGUAGCUGGUCUGAGAGGACGACCAGCCACACUGGGACUGAGACACGGCCCAGACUCCUACGGGAGGCAGCAGUGGGGAAUUUUGGACAAUGGGCGAAAGCCUGAUCCAGUCAUGCCGCGUGCAGGAUGAAGGCCUUCGGGUUGUAAACUGCUUUUGUACGGAACGAAAAGACUCCUUCUAAUAAAGGGGGUCCAUGACGGUACCGUAAGAAUAAGCACCGGCUAACUACGUGCCAGCAGCCGCGGUAAUACGUAGGGUGCAAGCGUUAAUCGGAAUUACUGGGCGUAAAGCGUGCGCAGGCGGUUAUAUAAGACAGAUGUGAAAUCCCCGGGCUCAACCUGGGAACUGCAUUUGUGACUGUAUAGCUAGAGUACGGUAGAGGGGGAUGGAAUUCCGCGUGUAGCAGUGAAAUGCGUAGAUAUGCGGAGGAACACCGAUGGCGAAGGCAAUCCCCUGGACCUGUACUGACGCUCAUGCACGAAAGCGUGGGGAGCAAACAGGAUUAGAUACCCCGGUAGUCC